CAUAGAGGAUGAUGUUUCACAGAGAAUUAAAGUGGGAUGGUUAAAGUGGAGAGGAGUGUCCGGAGUGCUGUGUGACCGACAUAUUCCUUUAAAGCUUAAAGGAAAGUUCUAUAGGAUUGUUGUACGACCGACUAUGCUGUAUGGAGUAGAAUGUUGGGCAGCAAAAAAGUGUCAUAUUGAGAAGCUAUGUGUAGCAGAGAU